CCUACGGGAGACUGCAGUGAGGAAUAUUGGUCAAUGGGCGGAAGCCUGAACCAGCCAAGUCGCGUGAGGGAAGAAGGCCCUAUGGGUCGUAAACCUCUUUUGCCAGGGAGCAACGCCCGGUACGUGUCCCGGGCCUGAGAGUACCUGAAGAAAAAGCAUCGGCUAACUCCGUGCCAGCAGCCGCGGUAAUACGGAGGAUGCGAGCGUUAUCCGGAUUUAUUGGGUUUAAAGGGUGCGUAGGCGGAAUUCUAAGUCAGCGGUAAAAUCGCGGGGCUCAACCCCGUCCGGCCGUUGAAACUGGCGGCCUUGAGUGGGCGAGAAGAAGGCGGAAUGCGUGGUGUAGCGGUGAAAUGCAUAGAUAUCACGCAGAACCCCGAUUGCGAAGGCAGCCUUCCGGCGCCCAACUGACGCUGAGGCACGAAAGCGUGGGGAUCGAACAGGAUUAGAUACCCUAGUAGUC
rnacentral:rRNA from 1 species